rnacentral:rRNA from 1 species
UACGGAGGGUGCAAGCGUUAUCCGGAUUCACUGGGUUUAAAGGGUGCGUAGGAGGGCAGGUAAGUCAGUGGUGAAAUCUCCAAGCUUAACUUGGAAACUGCCGUUGAUACUAUCUGUCUUGAAUAUUGUGGAGGUGAGCGGAAUAUGUCAUGUAGCGGUGAAAUGCUUAGAUAUGACAUAGAACACCAAUUGCGAAGGCAGCUCACUACUCAAUCAUUGACUCUGAGGCACGAAAGCGUGGGGAGCAAACAGG